UUCCUUUUCUGGUUCGUAAGCAUGAUGACUGGGUGUUCAUGCCGUUGUAAGAUAUGCCUCCCUCAUACCUUGUUACGAUGCCAGCACAUUACCCUUUUGACA